rnacentral:rRNA from 1 species
GUCUGGUGGCGAUAGCGAAGAGGUCACACCCGUUCCCAUGCCGAACACGGAAGUUAAGCUCUUCAGCGCCGAUGGUAGUUGGGGGUCUCCCCCUGUGAGAGUAGGACGCCGCCAAGC